UACGUAGGGUGCGAGCGUUGUCCGGAAUUAUUGGGCGUAAAGGGCUCGUAGGCGGUUUGUCGCGUCGGGAGUGAAAACACCGGGCUUAACUCGGUGCUUGCUUUCGAUACGGGCAGACUAGAGGCAUGCAGGGGAGAACGGAAUUCCUGGUGUAGCGGUGAAAUGCGCAGAUAUCAGGAGGAACACCAACGGCGAAGGCAGCACUCUGGGCCGGUACUGACGCUGAGGAGCGAAAGCGUGGGGAGCAAACAGG
rnacentral:rRNA from 1 species